CGGACGUUUUAGAGUGCAACACAAAGGAGUCACGCUUGCAAGAUUUCAACACUGACGGUUGGUACAGGUUUUUGUGUGUUAGCAGUGGAGUAAACCAUGGAGGUUUACGCCACUUUACACCAUGGAGGUCCUGGGAGGACAGUUUAGCGACAUGACUCCACAGGAGCUGGCGGCUCCUGUCAACACCGUAGCUGUGAGUAUGAAGACCGGAAAGGACCGAAAAUCUAGCAGCACAAGCACAGAGAUGCUAACGCUAGCGUGGAGGCUGUUAGGUACAGAGUGAAGGGGAAGGUCCUUACAUGUUUAAUAGACAUUAAAGCUUUAAUAUGAAAGGAACAACUCUUUUUAUCUAGCUGUAGUGUCACUUUUCAAGAAAAUCUCAAAUGGUCAGGUGGGAGACAUUUGAUGAGCUGACACUGAAUGACCUUUGUACCCUUCCUCAGUUGUGCACUCAGUUCUCCAACUUUUGUAAUGAUUCAGUCUGGUUUGCACAUUUCUGUGAAGGGAGUAGCAAACUCUACACUUCUAAUAUAGCAAAUACUUUAGUCUUAUACUUUAGAGUAUAUUGUUUGGUUUUCUUUUAAGAAUAUACAAGAACUAGACUGUAUUGUUAUAUUUACAUUUACCUUUGGGGCAAAAGCUUAAGCUUUUAGUCUUAUAUUAGUGGAUCCAUCUAAUUUCCGACUCAUUGUCCAAUUUGGGGUUGUGUUGGAGCCAGCUGUCAUAGGGUGAGCUCUGCUCAGAUUCCCAGAUCAGCAGAGAAAACCAUUCACACCUUUGACCAGUUUAUUAUCACUAAUUAAGUUUUUGGACUGUGGGAGGAAGUCUGAGUAUGCAGAGAGACCUCACACAGUUAUAAGGUGAACAUGCAAAAGAACAAGAGCAUGACACUAAUCACGCGUGUUCGCUCUGCUCUUUGUGUCCAGCUCCACUCAUGAAAAGAAAUGCAGAACUAAUAUUACUGUUAUAUAGGGCCAAUUCUACCUGAGGCACAACACGCUGUCAGAGGAGGACCCCAUGAUUUUUAUUUACUUAUUUUUUGCAGAGGACUGAUCCUCACUGCAGGCAUCACUGUCUGGUAUGGGAACAACACACAGGUAGAGAGGAAGGCUCUGCAAAGAGUCAUAAAGACUGCAGAGAGAUCAUAGGGACAAAACUUCCUUCCAUGAACUCUGUACACACAAUGCUGCCGAAAAAGAGCAGAGCAAAUUAUCUGGGACUCACCAUCCAGCUCACUCUCUGCUGAGACACAAAAACUAUACAAUGUGAGACACAACAGAGCGGACCGGAACAUUACACACAGAACAAGGUUUUUCAACAGCUUCUUCCCCGCCACUGUCAGACUGAUGGCAAAAUAAAACACUGGACACGUAAAAUAACACACAACACUACCUCACCUCACUUCGAAUGUACAAUGGGAUAAAUCACUGUCUGUUUAAUGUACAAUAUGCUUACUGAAACUGAUUUGAGAAACAGGUGCAAUAUUAGGUAAAAUAUUCUAAAUGUCAAAAUGUGCAAUAUUAUGUGUGAAAUACCCAGAAUGGUAUUUAUAGAGUUUUCAUGUAGUAAAUACUGUUAGUAGAUUGCUCUAUUUUUCGCUUUAUGUCUACUUUUUACUUGCUUUGUUUCCACCUCUCAAAAAUGUAACUUGUAACUUACCCACAGAACUUGUGACCUGUUCAGAAAAUAUAACCCACAGGAUUUGAGAGAAAAGGGACCAGUAAGUGCAAAAUGCAAACUUAUUUCAGGCAUUUCAGGUUUGUUCUUGCAGCACUUUCUAGAAGCACAUAUGUAGCCUAGGGUUGCUUACUGUGCCCAUUCUUAGAUGGGUCUUUAACCACAGUAAAACUACACUCAUACAUGAAGAAUACAAAACUCAAACGUCAUUCAAAACCUAGAAAGGAUACGAUGCAAGGGACAAAAAGUUGAAAGGAGGGACAUAAAGCAAUAAACUCAAAAAUAGUUUUUUGAGUUUUGAUCUUCACCUUCUUGCUGAGUGUUAUAAGAGCACUGCUGCCUCUCAUGUUUGUGCAGGACAUCUGAAGCUACAGCCAGUGUUUGGCUGGCUUAUCAUAGCACAGAGGAGGCCUCUACGUGCUAGUAGUAACCCCCUCAAACCCUCAGCCUGUUGUUUGAUACAAGCUGGUUUUUGUAAAUAAGCUCCCUGCCUUCAUAUUUACAGAUGUGACAAAUUUAAAUCACCCCCCAAAAAUAAACUGGUGUUCAAAAUGACACCUUUUCAUGCAAAUGUAGACUGGAUGCUAACUUUCUGACUGUUUAUUAAACAGAAAUGUUCAUGAUGCUCAAGUAAAUAAAACUGAUUCACAAAACUGUUAAAAAAUAAUAAUUUUGGGGAAAGAGGACUUUUCAGUCUGUUGUCAGCCUGGUUCAGUCUAAGCGUUGUUUUCCAUAAAUUGCAAGCUCAAAAAGUGCUUUGUCUCACUCCCACUUCUUGUCGCAUGUUGAAGCUCAACUUGGAACUUUGUUAAGAUCCAACCAUGCAAAAUAUUAUUUUUUGGUCAUUUUUCAAGUGGUCUUAAACUUUUGACUGGGGCUGUACAUUAAUUCUCUCCCUCUUUCAGUCACAGUCCCUGCAUUUAAAAUCCAACUCGAUAGACCGAUAGACCAGCCUUCAAACUAAGACGCGUGAUGUAUAAAAGUCUUUCUACUGAGUAAAGGACAGUUUGAGUUUCCUGCUGGCACCAUGCACUGUCUUCACAAGUUUCUUCUUUGUUUUCUACCAUGUCUACAAGGCAUCAGUGAGACAUCAAAGACAUACCUGAUUUAUCUUACGGCUGUAAACGGCACACUAACUUUAUCAUCUUCUUUUUUUUUUUAUUUACCAGAGUUUGCAACAGGAAUUAUUCAUGGAACAAAAGCUCCAGAGAACUCGAUACCCUACAUGGGAUCGGUGCAGAAUAACAAGGGUCAACAUGUCUGUGGAGAAUUCCUCAUCACGGUUGUGACCGGUUGUGAGUUAGAUUUCUUGUUCAUGAAGUUCAUCCAAAAACAAGCUUUUUCAAACUUGUGUUUAUUGAUCAAGUCACUCUAAGUUAUUGAUAAGGCAGAUGUUAUUUCGAGGGAAAAUAAAACACAAUUAAGUGCAAUAGCAUCAAAUAAAAAUGACCUUUGACCUCUCACAGCCGUUGGUUACAGCACUGCUGACAUUAACCUGCUUGUAACGAUUGCGUAAUGAGAAAUAAAGACAUCAGUUUAAAAUUGUUGACAUUUUUAAUUCCCUCUCAAUGAUUACUCACACAGUGACCGCACACACUGAUCAUCCCAAAGUAAAGAUUGAGAGAAAAUGAAAUCCAUGAAGAAUACAAAAAGUUUUUACAGAGUUUUUACAUUAAAAUAUGUUACUAUAUGUGUUACUAUUCUAUGGCUGGAUGGGGAAUAACUGAAACUGAUGGCGAACCUGUUGAUGAGCCGAUGGUGGUGGACGUGUCUGUCAUUGAACCAAAGGUCUGUAAGAAACACUGGCCUGGUCUUCCUGCCGGUGUUUCCUGUGCAGGUGGAUAUGGAACAACCAAAAGAUUCUGGCAGGUUGUUCUGUGGAUUUCUGCUCCUUGCAGUGUUCCUCAGUGGACUGAAUGGAUCAAGGUACAGUGGUAUAAACCAAACUCUGCUGAUGUUUCCUCUAUUUGUGUGUGCAUUUGUCAGAUGUUUGCAUAGCCUCUGUCUGACACUUUCUAUAACAAGCAGGAACUGUCAGCUAUUCUCAAUGAGCUGUGGAGUUUAUGCGUAAAUCACAUGACACCUGGGAUAGACUACACAAUCUCUGUUCAGGUGACAAACCUUUUCUAGUUUAUUUAGCGCCUGCUAUGUCUUGUGUUUGUACAAAGACGUGUUCUGUGUUUGAACUGCCUAAGGUAGAGCAAGCUUUGUAAGUCAGGGCAGCCUCACGGUGUAGGAUCACACCUCUCAGCCGCUCUUCUCCAAUGUUAAUGAGAACAAACUGAGAAAUGUAACCACUUUCUUUAGUGUGUACUUUCAAACACUCUGAGCUUAAACAUUCAGAUCGUGUUUGUAGUCAUCACUGUAAUAAUGGGAUUUGUGGGCUCGCAGGUUACAUGACAAUCCUGGACAACUAUGAGCGGUCUACAUUAGCAAUAAUUAACAGUAUCAAUUAAUUUUAUGCAUCUUUGUUUUUGUGCAGUGACA
ensembl:lncRNA